GUGCAGCCGCGGCAGGGAGAGGUCCGCUCGCACGCACGGGCGCCGCGCUGGUCCCGGGCUGACGGUUUCCCAGAUGAUGGCAUGCAAGAAUUUAAACAAAGGGGACCGCUGCGGGCGCGAAGCGGCUGCGGAAAGUUGCGGUGGCAGAUUUCCAAGAAGCGUGGCCGCGACCCGAGAUCUUGGCGCUGCGAGCUCCGGUUUCCCAACCCCGUCGAGACAGAGAUGGGGGCCGGCUGGUGAACGAAAGCGGAAACUUUGAAACCACUGGGGUCACAUCUGUCUAUAGGUAUUAGCUUGAAAGGCCUCCUGCGAACGUCCAGAGCCACAGAGGGUACGCCUAGGACUCUGCCGGACACUAAGAGUUAAGAUGUGGCUGAGAGGGUGGAGGGGGAGGGGCGGGGAGGAGAAAGUGGAGAGGGGGAGGGAGCCUGAGGGAGGACAGAUUUCCCGCAUACACGAUGCUCUGCCUAAAUUAAAAAGCAACCAAUCGAAACGGCCGGAAGGGGGACGUCGGGUCCUGAGCCAGUCAUUCCGGGCCUGCCAAUCACUCAGCAGGUAGCCAAUCAAUGGGGCCCCUGGCGCUGGACUUCCUUGUAUUUGGGAAAGUGUGGUGGUGGGUGUGCGCUCGCGGCGAGGGUAAACAUUCGACAGUCCCUGCUCUGAGAGGGAGGGACCCAGAACGAACUGUCAGAUUGGAGCGCCAGCGGGCGGGCAAGACCAGGGGAGAGAGGGGGGAGGGGAGACAGAGAGAGAGAGAGAGAGAGAGAGAGAGAGAGAGAGAGAGAGAGAGAGAGAGAGAGAGAGAGAGAGAGAAAGUGAGAGAGAAAGAGAGCGCAAACCAGGGCGCAGAACGAGCUCCCACUGCAACUCCGCUCGCGCACCGCCCGCGCCCGCGCCAGCCCUGCACCCUACGAGCCGCGCAACGUGCCCACUGGAGUUGGUUGUAUAUCAAGGAUCCCCUAUAUGCACACACACCCCUCAACCUCCACCAAUGCACUUUUCCUCCUCCUCCUUCUCCUCCUCCUCCUUCAGACAACUGCUGGGAAAAAAAUAAAACACCAACCCCAACCUUCAGCAACAAGGUAACAGAGCCAUUCGACCUCAUUUUUCUCCUGUUCAUUUUUUCCUUGUUAUAUUUGUUUCCUCGUUUCUGCCUAAAAGGAAAGAUGUCGCAUCAGGCUGUGACUGUUGCGAGGAGAAUGAAAGAGGACUCUUGUUUCAGAGGCAACCAAGAGUUCCGGCAAUAGCAACUUCAGAGCAAUGCAGCAUCGCAAGAAGUUUUCCUAGGACAGAACAAAACUUGAAACGAGAGGACCAUACGAGGAGAGCAGGAGCUAGCCUCUUCUCUCCGCACACGCCAGCAGCCAGCAUCACCACGCCUUCAAGGACUAAAAAAGUUUUACUACUCCAAGGGGUAACGAGUGAAAUGUGUUCCUGAGAGGAGAGGAGAGCGGCCAAGGAAAGGCGCAGGCCGGCUGUUGGUCAUCCAUAAUUUGAUUCAAGAAGAAAGAAACGGCUUCUUUCUUUGUUGUCUCCCGUGAAAUCGCCACUUAGCAGGUGGAUCGAGCCCCGCGUCCAGGCAGAGUCCGCGUUCACCGGGACAGGAGGAGGAGUGGGAGCCGGGCGCCCUAGCUUAGAGCCCCAGCGCAGGCCCGCGCCCCGCUCGGUGAGCCCUGCUGGAGCAAGACGAACGCACCGGGGCGGGGGGGCGGCCAAGACCCCCCCUGAAGGGGACGGCCGCGGAGCGCGCCCGGAAAAGCUAG